GACGAGGGACCUAGCGUUGUUCGGAAUCAUUGGGCGUAAAGCGGGUGUAGGUGGGCUUCUAAGUCAGGUGUGAAAUCCCAGGGCUCAACCCUGGAAGUGCAUUUGAUACUGGAAGUCUUGAGUGUGGUAGAGGUUACUGGAAUUGUUGGUGUAGUGGUGAAAUACGUAGAUAUCAACAGGAAUACCGGAGGCGAAGGCGAGUAACGUGGGCCAACACUGACACUGAGACCCGAAAGCGUGGGGAUCAAACAGG
rnacentral:rRNA from 1 species